rnacentral:rRNA from 1 species
UACGUAGGGUGCAAGCGUUGUCCGGAAUUAUUGGGCGUAAAGAGCUCGUAGGCGGUUAGUCGCGUCUGCUGUGAAAACUCGGGGCUUAACUCCGGGCCUGCAGUGGGUACGGGCUGACUAGAGUGCGGUAGGGGGAGACUGGAAUUCCUGGUGUAGCGGUGAAAUGCGUAGAUAUCUGGAGGAACACCGGUGGCGAAGGCGGCAUCCUGGACCGAGAUUGACGCUGAUGCGCGAAAGCCAGGGGAGCAAACGGGG